rnacentral:rRNA from 3 species
GGAUUCAUGACUGGGGUGAAGUCGUAACAAGGUAGCCGUAUCGGAAGGUGCGGCUGGAUCACCUCCUUUCC